UACGUAGGUGGCAAGCGUUGUCCGGAAUUAUUGGGCGUAAAGCGCGCGCAGGUGGUUUCUUAAGUCUGAUGUGAAAGCCCACGGCUCAACCGUGGAGGGUCAUUGGAAACUGGGGAACUUGAGUGCAGGAGAGAAGAGUGGAAUUCCACGUGUAGCGGUGAAAAUGCGUAGAGAUGUGGAGGAACACCAGUGGCGAAGGCGAGUCCCUGGACAACACCUGACACUGAGGCACGAAAGCUAGGGGAGCAAACAGG
rnacentral:rRNA from 1 species